rnacentral:tRNA from 1 species
GGUCUUGUAUUCAUGAAAUGAUAUUAGAAUGCAAUUUUGAAGGUGUAAUUAUACUAAGACUU